rnacentral:rRNA from 1 species
UAGGGAAUCUUCGGCAAUGGGGGGAACCCUGACCGAGCAACGCCGCGUGAGUGAAGAAGGUUUUCGGAUCGUAAAGCUCUGUUGUUAAGGAAGAACGAGUGUGAGAAUGGAAAGUUCAUGCUGUGACGGUACUUAACCAGAAAGGGACGGCUAACUACGUGCCAGCAGCCGCGGUAAUACGUAGGUCCCGAGCGUUGUCCGGAUUUAUUGGGCGUAAAGCGAGCGCAGGCGGUUAGAAAAGUCUGAAGUGAAAGGCAGUGGCUCAACCAUUGUAGGCUUUGGAAACUGUUUAACUUGAGUGCAGAAGGGGAGAGUGGAAUUCCAUGUGUAGCGGUGAAAUUCGUAGAUAUUAGGAGGAAUACCGGUGGCGAAGGCGACUUUCUGGUCUGUAACUGACGCUGAGGCUCGAAAGCGUGGGGAGCGAACAGG